UACGUAGGGAGCGAGCGUUGUCCGGAUUUAUUGGGCGUAAAGCGCUUUAAGGCGGUUUGGUAAGUCGGAUGUGAAAGCUCCGGGCUCAACUCGGAGAGGCCACCCGAAACUGCCAUGACUAGAGUCCGGUAGGGGAGCACGGAAUUCCCGGUGUAGCGGUGAAAUGCACAGAUAUCGGGAGGAACACCAGUGGCGAAGGCGGUGCUCUGGGCCGGUACUGACGCUGUAGAGCGAAAGCGUGGGGAGCGAACAGG
rnacentral:rRNA from 1 species